GAUGAACGCUGGCAGCAUGCUUAACACAUGCAAGUCUACUGGUAAAUCGGUUAGGGUGGCGGACGGGGGAGUAACGCGUACGGAACUUGCCUCCCAGAUAGGGACAACACUUGGAAAGGAAUGCUAAUACCAGAUAUCAUGUAUUAAAGGCAACCACGAAUUAUGACAGCUAUAUGGACUGGGAGAGAGCUUUGCGUCGCAUUAGCUAGUUGGAGAGGUAACGGCUGACCAAGGAGAGGAUGGGUAGCCGGCCUGGGAGGGUGCUCGGCCACAAGGGGACUGAGACACGGCCCUUACUCCUACGGGCGGCAGCAGUGGGGAAUAUUGGACAAUGGACCAAGAGUCUGAUCCAGCAAUUCUGUGUGCACGAUGAAGUUUUUCGGAAUGUAAAGUGCUUUCAGUUGGGAAGAAGAAAAUGACGGUACCAACAGAAGAAGUGACGGCUAACUACGUG
rnacentral:rRNA from 1 species